UGGGGAAUUUUGGACAAUGGGGGAAACCCUGAUCCAGCCAUCCCGCGUGUGCGAUGAAGGCCUUCGGGUUGUAAAGCACUUUUGGCAGGAAAGAAACGUCAUGGGUUAAUACCCCGUGAAACUGACGGUACCUGCAGAAUAAGCACCGGCUAACUACGUGCCAGCAGCCGCGGUAAUACGUAGGGUGCAAGCGUUAAUCGGAAUUACUGGGCGUAAAGCGUGCGCAGGCGGUUCGGAAAGAAAGAUGUGAAAUCCCAGAGCUCAACUUUGGAACUGCAUUUUUAACCACCGGGCUAGGGUGUCUCAGAGGAAGGUGGAAUUCCGCGUGUAGCAGUGAAAUGCGUAGAUAUGCGGAGGAACACCGAUGGCGAAGGCAGCCUCCUGGGAUAACACUGACGAUCAUGCACGAAAGCGUGGUGAGCAAACAGG
rnacentral:rRNA from 1 species